GUACCUUUGUCGGCCUUUUGGCGAAGAUCAAGAGCAGUAUAUGUUCUUAUCAGUUUAAUAUUUCAUAUUUUCUUUUUUGAAACUAUCACUGUCGCGCAGCCGUUGCACUGCUGGCCGGGCCUGCCGCACCCCA
rnacentral:snRNA from 2 species